rnacentral:rRNA from 1 species
GCCCAUCCGCGCAACGAAAGCGAAUGGCGGGACGCUCUCCCGCAGGGGGGCGGCGCCGCCGGCCGGACGUCCUCGAGGCGGACCGAGCCGGAGCGCUCGCGUCGGGACCCGAAAGGUGGUGAUCUAUCCGUGCGCGCGGCGAAGCCGGGGGAAACCCCGGUGGAGGCCCGUCGACGGUACUGACGUGCAAAUCGUUCGUCCGACGUGCGAAUAGGGGCGAAAGACCAAUCGAACCUCCUAGUAGCUGGUUUCCGCCGAAAUUUCCCCUCAGGAUAGCGGCCAUCGCGGAAACGUUUUGACCGGUAGAGCGAACGACUAGAGGUACCGGGGCCGUAACGGCCUCGACCUAUUCUCGAACUCCGAACGGGCAAGGAGCCGGGGUCGCCCGAUCGGACCCCGGACGUGAAGUCGACGAUGGUCGGUGGGCUGGUUUUGGUAAGCAGAACGGGCGAUUCGGGAUG